rnacentral:lncRNA from 1 species
UCAAUGUCAACCACAGUCUGUCCCUGAACAUAGACAGGACAAAGGUUUUAAUACAUUAAAUUUAGCUCUCUUAAAUGUUAGGUCUUUGGCAGGCAAAUCGUUCUUAAUUAAUGAUUUUAUUCAAAAGCACCAUCUGGAUUUUAUGUUUUUAACUGAAACUUGGUUGGGGCAAGACAAUAGUGCAGCAGUUCUUAUUGAGUCUACUCCUCCUAACUUUGGUUUCAUGAGUGAAGCAAGAUUGCACAAGAAAGGAGGAGGAGUCGCCAUUUUGUUUAAUGACUGCCUCCAGUGCAAAAAGGUAUCCUAUGGAAAGUUUGACUCUUUUGAAUAUGUUGCUCUUCAGCUAAAAUCCUCCUGUCAAGCAACCUUUGCAGUUAUUUACAAAACCCCGAAAUACAAUGCAAAGUUCUUUGAUGAGUUUGCCAAACUAUUGUCUAUUAUGUGCAUUGACUUUGAUUGUGUUGUCUUAGUGGGUGACUUUAACAUUCAUGUUGAUAAUCCUAAUGAUGGAAGUGCCAAAGAACUCUUUAACAUCCUAGAUAGCUUUGGGCUGUCACAGCAUGUAACAGACUCAACACAUAACAAGGGACAUAUACUGGAUCUAGUCAUUUCCAAAGGUCUGAACAUCUCUGAGGUUGUGGUGACCGAUGUUGCUCUUUCUGAUCAUUACUGUGUUGCGUUUAAAACGACCAACCCUGCUAAUCCCAACAAGGUAGAAGGAAAGGUGAUCAGAAAGCGUCACAUUAAUGAUAACACCUGUGCACUGUUCACACAGGCUUUUGUACCAUCACCAACCCUGCCCACAGCUCCUGUUGACGACCUUGUAAACAGUUUCAGUUCCAAAGUUAUGACUGUUAUUGAUUCAAUUGCCCCAAUCAGAACCAAAGUUCUGUCAGGAAGGAAAAAGUCACCUUGGAGAAAUGCCACACUGGUUAAAGCUCAAAAAAGAGUCUGCAGACAGGCAGAACGCAGAUGGAGAAAAACUAAACUCCAGGUUCAUUAUAACAUUUACAAAGAGAGCCUACAUAACUACAACCAGGAACUGAAAAAUGCAAGACAAUCCUAUUUUUCAGAGAUCAUCGAUAGGAACAGCAACAAUGCUCGCACAUUGUUCUCUGUUAUAGACAGACUGACAAACCCAGGAGUAUCAGUCCCACCUGAACUGCUGUCUAAAAAGUCAUGCAAUGACUUUGCAUCUUUUUUCACAGAUAAAGUGUUAAAAAUAAGACAAACAGUCUGUAGCUCUAGCUCUGGCAAAACCAUAAUGUCACUUGUGCCUUCUCAUCCACCAGUUAAGCUGGCACAUUUUAACCUUCUAGAUAAUACAGCACUGACAGAAACUGUUAAACAGUUAAAACCCACAACAUGCUCACUUGACAAUCUGCC